rnacentral:rRNA from 2 species
AGCAUAUCAAUAAGCGGAGGAAAAGAAACCAACAGGGAUUACCUCAGUAACGGCGAGUGAAGCGGUAACAGCUCAAAUUUGAAAGCUCGCUCUUUUAGGGUGCGCAUUGUAAUUUGUAGAAGAUGCUUCGGGUGUGGCCCCGGUCUAAGUUCCUUGGAACAGGACGUCAUAGAGGGUGAGAAUCCCGUAUGUGACUGGGUGCUUUCGCUCAUGUGAAGCUCUUUCGACGAGUCGAGUUGUUUGGGAAUGCAGCUCAAAAUGGGUGGUAAAUUUCAUCUAAAGCUAAAUAUUGGCCAGAGACCGAUAGCGCACAAGUAGAGUGAUCGAAAGAUGAAAAGCACUUUGGAAAGAGAGUUAAACAGUACGUGAAAUUGUUGAAAGGGAAGCGCUUGCAACCAGACUUGCGCGCUGAUGAUCAUCCGGGCUUCUGCCCGGUGCACUCGUCUGCGCUCAGGCCAGCAUCGGUUUUGGUGGUGGGAUAAAGGCCUUGGGAAUGUAGCUUCUUUCGGGGAGUGUUAUAGCCCUCGGUGCAAUGCCGCCUACCGGGACCGAGGACCGCGCUUCGGCUAGGAUGCUGGCGUAAUGGUUGUAAGCGACCCGUCUUGAAACACGGACCAAGGAGUCUAACAUCUAUGCGAGUGUUUGGGUGUCAAACCCAUACGCGUAAUGAAAGUGAACGGAGGUGAGAACCCUUAAGGGUGCAUCAUCGACCGAUCCUGAUGUCUUCGGAUGGAUUUGAGUAAGAGCAUAGCUGUUGGGACCCGAAAGAUGGUGAACUAUGCGUGAAUAGGGUGAAGCCAGAGGAAACUCUGGUGGAGGCUCGCAGCGGUUCUGACGUGCAAAUCGAUCGUCAAAUUUGCGUAUAGGGGCGAAAGACUAAUCGAACCAUCUAGUAGCUGGUUCCUGCG